CCCCCAUUUUUCACUGGCUAGUUACGCUCUUGUACAAUUUAAUUUGUGAAUAGUUGCUUAGGUUGCUGCGUGCAGUUAACCUAACUUGACCAACGUGCAACGGUUGCUGCGUUCAGUUAACCUCGUAAGGCGGUGCAUAUGUCGGACGCCGAUCGUAAAAUCAGGCAGAUCGUAAUGUUCUUGUUUUGACAGUAGUUACAUUAAACCAAUAGGUGGGAUAUGUUCGUUAGGUUGGUUCAGAUGCCCGAUGGGGCGAUGAACAAACUGUCCAGAAAUAGGAGACUUAGGGAUUUUCACGAUUCACGAUAUGCCUAAAAAUUUCACGAUCUGCCUGAUCUUACGAUCGGCCGCCGACACAUAUAAAAUGUUCUUAUUUUUAAUUCAAGUCUUGUUGCAUCGUCGUAAGGCUCAUUAAAAAAAUCCUAUUUAUUAUUUGAACCUUGAUCUAUAAGUAAAUUUGAUUGAAUUUAGUUGUUUUAAAAAGCAAUGUAACAAAAGAAAUGCUACUUUAUUUGGUACACGAAAGGUUCUAAUUAGCUUGCAACGAAUAUGUACAUUGUAAUGUACAUUGGGCCUUACAAGGUUAAAUCGUAAUGAAAUUUUGGCAUUUCGUUAAAAAGUGACGUUGAAGCUGCUAACCGAAGACCCACGGAUCUUAACUUGUGAACUUUAUUUCAAAGUGAUUAGGUUCAAUUUUGUGUAAUUUCUGACACCCUUAUUUGCUACUUCUAAUUGCCCAGAAGCUAAAAAAAUGUCAUAGAAGUAGUAGUAAAACACUUUAUUGUACAAAAAGAAACAUAAAACAGAAAAGAACAUACAUUAUUUGUACAAAGGCGAACUUAUCCCUUUAAGGGAUCUCUUCAAGUUAACCUUCAUCAUAUUUCAUUAAUUCAUUGUCAUUCCACAGAAUUUUAAAUAUUUUUUAAAUAAAUUACUUACUUAAUAUUUUAUUUUGACGGCUUUCUAACCCAAUCCGUAGUAACCCUGCCUAUGAAAUAGGAGGUCCCGAGUUCAAAUCCGGGUAAGGGGUCGUCCGUCAAUUAAAUGAGCGGUUCUCGAGGAUUUUUUUUUGGCGCCAGUAUGGAAGGUAGAGGCAAGGAACAGAAUCUCCUUAGGCAGAACUGUUGCAAAAGUGUUCAGCUGUCAGCUAUAAAUAAUAGUUCCAAGUCUCUCCAGAGUAGCGCUAGAGUAGCUAAGAACCUAGGCGUUAUUGACGGAGUGAAGUGCGCUGUCUAUGAUUAGACUUUUUUCUCAAGUAUUCUAGGUAUUGUAGCGCCACCUAUUUAUGGUUUUUUGUCGGACACUUUUUAGUAUAUGGAGAUUCUGUUCCUUGCCUCUACCUUCCAUGUCAGCUGUCAAAUUCGAAGCACUAUUUUUAAUUAGAUUUUUCAUUUUUUAUACAGUGUACAACUCUUCAGAUAAGAGUAAUAAAUUAUUAAUGUUUAGUUAAUAAAUAUUUAAUCAAAUAAAAUAACCAAUACAGUAUACUGUACAAACAUCAACACUUAACUCUUUUCCAGGCAUAGUACGAUUUAUCGACCACAUACACGCCAUUAGAAUUUCAACUUUAGCAUUUCGAUUUAAGGUUCAAAUUAGAUUACACUUUCUGGAAAUGUAACUUGUCUUCAAAUGAAUCAUCAAAGCUGGAUUAAUUGGAAUAUAUUUGGAUUUUUUGGAAAAAACCUUGUAGAUUGGUGCGGCCUGGAAAAGGGUUAACUGUCCACCGGUGGACCUUAUGCCUUUUGUAAUAAGGUGCACCGAUGGACAGUUCACAGUGUGGGCAAUGGGUAGAGUAAAUCCAAGAUAAGUUUGCAGCGGUUUUGAUUGCCCAGACGGUGCAUGGGUUAUUGUAAACGUUAAACUUCGAUGAAAUUGUGACACUUGCCCCGUCUGGGCUAUCAAAAUCACUGCAAACUUAUCAUGGUCUUACUUUAGCAGUUGCAAAAGAAAGGACGCUUGGCACAAGGGGGUUGUCCAGAAAUCAUGUGAUCAUAUUUUGACUAUUUUUGAUCCCCCCUCCCCCUUGGUGAUAUUUGGUGAUUUUAACGCAACCCCCUCCCCCCUACCACAAGAUCACGUGAUAAUAAAAUUAUGAUGCGGGUACCCUUAGACUUAGUAUAUAUUCAAAAUGAGAUCGAUAACGUGAAAAAUUAUAACGCCUGCAAAAUUGUAAUAGCAAGCAAAAUAUAAAAUGAGUAAAACUUGGAAACCACAAAUAAAAUGGCUCAUAUUAUAAUUGAAUGUGAAGGUAUAAAAAAGGUACAAAAAUUUGGCUUUUAUAGAAUUAAUAAAUAACCACGGGAUCAUAGCGUAAUAAAGUACACCCGCCAUUCUGACUGUCAGGAUGGCGGGUGACCUGUUUUUUGAUGAUAACUUGAAGUACCGUGAGGUACAAAUUUUUUGAAACGAGGUACUAAAUAGUACAAAUUAGGUACAAAAAUAUGGUAUGCUUUUCAUUUGUUUUUAUUUAGUUACACCCGCUUCUGACUCUCACCAUUUGAAAUACACGUGAUAUCUUCUUGGAUCCCCCCUCCCCCAUCGUGAUCAUUCGUGAUAUUUUUCUUACCCCCACCUCCUAAACGAUCACAUGAUUUCUGGACGACCCCAAGGAAUUUCGUACAUCGACCCGCAUGUUCAGGGCCGUCUUUAUGCUGGGGUCCUUGGGCGCAUAAAUUUGGGGCCCUUUUGGAAAUUAAAGAAAGCACACAGAGCGAGCAUACGCGCGAGGCAAUUUCCUCACGCACAGACCGGCCAGUGUAGACGUGCCUCGGCCGAGGCGGCGCGCUCGGGCGAGGAAAACGCACGCCUCGCCCGUACGUGCUCGCUCGCUCGCUGUGUGUGCCCGCCUAAUAGGAUAUGGUUACAUGUUGUAACAUUGUCAUGACCUUUCUUUAGCAGGGAUUAGCUUAGCUUUCUUACAUAGUGAUUUAUAAAAUAAAAACUUAAAUUAAA